GCUCCUUCAGGAUCCCAUGUGAAAACCCAACUAUUGAUGGCGUCAUCCGAAUUGGCUCCUGCCCUCAGCAGGCUAAUUGUGUAGGCUGGCAACUGCAGAGAGAAACCCGCAUCUCCCAGCCACUCCUUCCAUUGCCACCCUAUUCCACCCCUCAACAACCCUUCCGGCCCUCUCAGCAGAUGGCUGCUCACACAGCAUGUUCUUUUCUGUGGAAAAUCCUUAAGAAGCCCAGAGGCAAAGGAUGCUCAAAAAAAUUAUGUUUGCCAGUGGCGUUCUCUUUGCAGACUGUGGACCAGACUCAGUAAGGGAUACUCAGUGGGAGAAAUGAGCUGGGAGUCAUCAGGACAUCUGUUGCUGAGUUGCUGUGUGACUCUGGGUCAUCCAAGGACAGAAGACUCAGUUUCUUCUCCACUGACUUCUAGAAGCCUCCCACAUUUCUGUUUCCAGUUACCUGGUCCUGUUCCCUAUUUCUUCCUGGAGGAAUCGUUCCUAAGCCUAGGAUGGUCAGACACAUGAAGUUAAGAAUAGCUGAUUCAGGACUUCCAUAUUGGUCCAGUGGUUAAGAAUCCGCCUGCCAAUGCAGGAGGCAUGAAUUCAAUCCCUGUUUUGGGAAGAUCCCACAUGCCAUGGAGCAACUAAGCCCGUGUGCCAACAGCUACUGA